rnacentral:rRNA from 1 species
GACGAACGCUGGCGGCGUGCUUAACACAUGCAAGUCGAACGGAAAGGCCUGCUUUCCCUUGUGGAUUGCGGGUACUCGAGUGGCGAACGGGUGAGUAACACGUGAGUGAUCUGCCCCCAACUUGGGUAUAAGCCUGGGAAACUGGGUCUAAUUCCCGAUAGGACUGCAGGGUGGUGCCUGUGGUGGAAAACGAUUUUCUAGUGGUUGGGGAUGAGCUCGCGGCCUAUCAGCUUGUUGGUGGGGUAAUGGCCUACCAAGGCGGCGACGGGUAGCCGGCCUGAGAGGGUGGACGGGCACAGUGGGACUGAGAUACGGCCCAGACUCCUACGGGAGGCAGCAGUGGGGAAUAGUGCACAAUGGGCGGAAGCCUGAUGCAGCGACGCCGCGUGGGGGAUGACGGCCUUCGGGUGGUAAACUCCUUUCGACCGCGAGGAAGCCACCUGGUUGGAAGGGUGGUGACGGUAGUGGUAGAAGAAGCACCGGCUAACUACGUG